CGGGCAAGGCGGGGUCCACGAUAGCAGGUCCAAUUGAAAUAGGCUCAUAGUUGUCGACGAUGGCUGGUCCAACAUGAAUUGGCUCCGUGUCGACGAUAGCGGGUCCAACAUGAAUUGGCUCAUAACCGUCAAUGAUUGCAGGUCCAACAUGAAUUGGCUCCGUGUCGACGAUGGCUGGUCCAA